rnacentral:rRNA from 1 species
ACGCUGGCGGCAGGCCUAACACAUGCAAGUCGAGCGGUAGCACAGGAGAGCUUGCUCUCUGGGUGACGAGCGGCGGACGGGUGAGUAAUGUCUGGGAAACUGCCUGAUGGAGGGGGAUAACUACUGGAAACGGUAGCUAAUACCGCGUGACCUCGCAAGAGCAAAGUGGGGGACCUUCGGGCCUCACGCCAUCGGAUGUGCCCAGAUGGGAUUAGCUAGUAGGUGGGGUAAUGGCUCACCUAGGCGACGAUCCCUAGCUGGUCUGAGAGGAUGACCAGCCACACUGGAACUGAGACACGGUCCAGACUCCUACGGGAGGCAGCAGUGGGGAAUAUUGCACAAUGGGCGCAAGCCUGAUGCAGCCAUGCCGCGUGUGUGAAGAAGGCCUUAGGGUUGUAAAGCACUUUCAGCGAGGAGGAAGGGUUCAGUGUUAAUAGCACUGAGCAUUGACGUUACUCGCAGAAGAAGCACCGGCUAACUCCGUGCCAGCAGCCGCGGUAAUACGGAGGGUGCAAGCGUUAAUCGGAAUUACUGGGCGUAAAGCGCACGCAGGCGGUUUGUUAAGUCAGAUGUGAAAUCCCCGAGCUUAACUUGGGAACUGCAUUUGAAACUGGCAAGCUAGAGUCUUGUAGAGGGGGGUAGAAUUCCAGGUGUAGCGGUGAAAUGCGUAGAGAUCUGGAGGAAUACCGGUGGCGAAGGCGGCCCCCUGGACAAAGACUGACGCUCAGGUGCGAAAGCGUGGGGAGCAAAC